CGGGGAUCGGGGAUCCCGCCCACGGAACAGAACAGAAGAGAAGAGAGCGCGGCCGCGCCGGAGUACGCACAACCUGUCACACGGAGCGGCCCAGUGCAGUAACCUGCUCGAAGAAGGAACUGGUUGCAAGAUUAGUUGUGACGGAUAUGGUGUUGGCAGGUGGUCGUGUGGUCAUGUGUUACACUUUCCAGCCGUUUGCAUUACCAGCGCAGCAGCGCUGUGCACUCCUGAAGCAUCGACUGCACACCGACCAGCGCAACGCCGCUAAACAGCAUCAAGAAGACGUGGACCUGCAGGCCAGUGGAAAGAGCGUGCGUCACCACACCUCCAGAAAGACAGAGUUCAGCGCCCGCUGUCGGUGCUGACUUACCCACCUACCCAUUGCUGGUCAGCUCAGCUCGCUUGCGGAUUUCGAGAACAUCAGUACUGAGUAAUGGAAAGACGUUUCUUAUCCUACAUUCUGUGUGUAGUAAUAGGGAAUAAAGUA